rnacentral:rRNA from 1 species
UACGAAGGGGGCUAGCGUUGCUCGGAAUCACUGGGCGUAAAGGGUGCGUAGGCGGGUCUUUAAGUCAGGGGUGAAAUCCUGGAGCUCAACUCCAGAACUGCCUUUGAUACUGAGAGUCUUGAGUACGGGAGAGGUGAGUGGAACUGCGAGUGUAGAGGUGAAAUUCGUAGAUAUUCGCAAGAACACCAGUGGCGAAGGCGGCUCACUGGCCCGGUUACUGACG